AAUAUUGGACAAUGGGGGCAACCCUGAUCCAGCCAUGCAGCGUGUGUGAAGAAGGUCUNCGGAUUNUNAAGCACUUUAAGUUGAGNGGAAGGGCUUUAGGUUAAUACCCUGAAUUUUUUACUUUACCAAAAGAAUACGCACCGUCUAACUCUGUGCCAGCAGCUGCGGUAAUACAGAGGGUCCAAGCGUUAAUCGGAAUUACUGGGCGUAAAGUGCGCGUAGGUGGUUCAGUAAGAUGGGUGUGAAAUACCCGGGCUUAACCUGGGAACUGCUUUCAUAACUGCUGAGCUAGAGUACGGUAGAGGGUAGUGGAAUUUCCUGUGUAGCGGUGAAAUGCGUAGAUAUAGGAAGGAACACCAGUGGCGAAGGCGACUACCUGGACUGAUACUGACACUGAGGUGCGAAAGCGUGGGGAGCAAAC
rnacentral:rRNA from 1 species